rnacentral:tRNA from 1 species
UAAGGUUUAGUUAAAGUUAGAAUACUGGUCUGUCGGUUCGGAGAUGUGAGUUCCUCACAACCUUAU